rnacentral:rRNA from 1 species
CCGGCGCACGGGUGAGUAACACGUAUCCAACCUGCCGUCUACUCUUGGCCAGCCUUCUGAAAGGAAGAUUAAUCCAGGAUAGGAUCAUGAGUUCACAUGUCCGCAUGAUUAAAGGUAUUUUCCGGUAGACGAUGGGGAUGCGUUCCAUUAGAUAGUAGGCGGGGUAACGGCCCACCUAGUCAACGAUGGAUAGGGGUUCUGAGAGGAAGGUCCCCCACAUUGGAACUGAGACACGGUCCAA